rnacentral:rRNA from 1 species
UUCCAGACUCCUACGGGAGGCAGCAGUGGGGAAUAUUGCACAAUGGGGGAAACCCUGAUGCAGCGACGCCGCGUGAGCGAUGAAGUAUUUCGGUAUGUAAAGCUCUAUCAGCAGGGAAGAAGAUGACGGUACCUGACUAAGAAGCCCUGGCUAACUACGUGCCAGCAGCCGCGGUAAUACGUAGGGGGCAAGCGUUAUCCGGAUUUACUGGGUGUAAAGGGAGCGUAGACGGCGAUGCAAGCCAGAUGUGAAAGCCCGGGGCUCAACCCCGGGACUGCAUUUGGAACUGUGUGGCUGGAGUGUCGGAGAGGCAGGCGGAAUUCCUAGUGUAGCGGUGAAAUGCGUAGAUAUUAGGAAGAGCACCAGUGGCGAAGGCGGAUGACUGGACGACAACUGACGGUGAGGCGCGAAAGCGUGGGGAGCAAACAGGAUUAGAUACCCCAGUA